UACGUAGGGACCGAGCGUUGUCCGGAUUCAUUGGGCGUAAAGAGCUCGUAGGCGGCUGUUCAAGUCGAACGUGAAAACUCGGAGCUCAACUCCGAGCCUGCGUUCGAUACUGGACGGCUAGAGUCUGGUAGGGGGAUCUGGAAUUCCUGGUGUGAGCGGUGGAAUGCGCAGAUAUCAGGAGGAACACCGGUGGCGAAGGCGGGAUCCUGGGCCAGUACUGACGCUGAGGAGCGAAAGCGUGGGUAGCAAACAGG
rnacentral:rRNA from 1 species